rnacentral:piRNA from 1 species
UGAAAGAUGUCAACCUGAGCUGAAGCCACUUU